CUGGAGAUCCUUCCUUUGGAGUUUUCUGAUGUUAUAAUAUGCCAUCAACAAGAAACAGAGCCCAUGACACUAAUGUAAAUGAGUGAAGGAAGAGAUUGGAAGAAGUGCCUGAGGAAAUCUGGAGGGUGCAGAAGACCGCUGAGCACCAUCCCAACCAGUGCAAUCUGUGCAGCCUUCCCCAUCAACUAUGAUGCAGAAUGUCAGGGUGAAGAAACAAGAAGGAUACAGCUGCUCUCCGGUCAUACAGUUGGUUCUACACAUGCUAGCUAACGCAGAAAGGAUUGUCUGCUGGGUACAAGAACCCUCUGCUCAAGAACCAGGACACAGUUUUCCCCAAACAUGGACAGUAUCUCACAUCAUGCAUUCUAUGAUGGUGUUGUGAUUGACUCAAGCUGUUUGAUUUGCAGCGGAGACCAAGAUCCAGCACAAAAGUAUAUGGGAAAAGCCAAAUUCUUCAUCAACUUCUGACAACUCAGGGUAAGGGUAAGCGUGAUUAAGCAAGUGCAUGAGCAUGAAUAGAUGAAAAGUUGAGGUGUUCUUGGAAAUGCAGCUCUCACUGCACAGUGCUGCACAAAGAUCUGCCCACUUAAUUCUGUCUGAGAGAGCAUUAAACGAUCAAUCAACAGCUCACCCACACAGCCAUUUACCUUCAGUAGAAAAAAGGACAGACCUUGCAUGGGAAGAAGAGCCACUUAGUCAAUCAGGCAGUCACAAAAGCUGAAAAGCUGAAGGAUGAACUGUUUAGAUGAGCAAAAUGCAUCCCAGUUACCUGUGGUACCUCAGGAUAGUCUACAAGAAGUUACACCAAACAGGACAACUGUUUGAUUCUUUGUUUUGUACAGGAAAAUGGCCACAAAAAGGUGUCACGUGAGUACAGCAGCCAUGGUCAGACAUCUGCACAAGUUCUUGCAACAUGAUAUAAUCAUCAGAGUGGCAGUCCCCUCUGUUGUGGGACAGUCAUGCUUCCAUCAGUAUGCAAAUAGUAGCACUUCAUAUGUGGUCACACUAAUGAGGCAUGACUCUGUGACCAUCCAGAUACAUCCUUGACUUCCUGUCAUCAGUAAGCCCACUCUGACCAAUUAUGUUACACAACAAUGGCUUUGCCAGAUGCCAUUUAGCAGAUCAAAAAGACAAUAGAUGGUCACUCCCAGUUUGUGAGUUGCUGAGUCAUUAACAGGAAAAAUAGAGAAUGAUUCACCAUAUAUGAACAGGAUACAGGCAUUCUUGUUGGAGUGCUGUCUCAUAAUUAGAUAUCAUGCCACAGAAAAAUCAAUGCAUGCUAUCCAAAUGGUAUUUCACUGUAUACUAUUAAUAUAUACUAGAAAGCUGAUGAAAUACCACCAUUGCUGGCUAUGAAUGACCCACAAGUCUGAGAUUUGUUAUGUACUGAUGCUUUCUACUAUAGACACACACACACCAGUAUACCACUGAUAAAUCCAGAUGUGCAGAGGAGAAAUGUAGAUGGGUCAUCUUAGCUAAGUUAACCUAGACUUCUCAGUAAGACAUGCUCAUGUAUUUCCAGCACAUAUGAUACCUGUAAACACACAAUGGAUUUAUUUUUAUCCUGCACAUCUUGAACUUCUUAACCUGUUCCAUUCAAGUUACUAAAGUGGCUGAGCUUCACUCCCUAAUGUGUACUGUUUGACAGUCACCAGUCCAAGUGAGAAACAGAGCCUGCAGGUGGGCAGAAUAAGAUGUUACAGAUGAUACCCUUUGAGAAAUUAAAAUGAGCAGCCAUCAAAACUAGUAAUAAUGUGUAACAUCAAAAGACUCUUUAUUAGAGGUCAUGCGUUCCACCUACUUGUCUUCUCACUUCAAAAACCAAAUUAACACACACAUUCUUUGAAGUGCUGGUGUUUACUCAGGAACUGCUAGAUCAUCACUGAGUAUGGCUAAAGAUAUAAUGACUAAGUAAAAGUAUUUUGCACCUUCUAUCUUUACAUACUGCUUUGCACAAGUGCAUCGCUGAACGUGCUCUAGACUGCUAAUGCCCAGCUGCACUAAAUAGCUUGUAGCCCACUGAAGGAAAGACAAUUGUGGAGAGCCUUUAGGCCUCAAGAUCAUACAUUGGUAAUGAUCUACCUGUCAGGAUAGGCAACAUCUCACCUAGUUAUGAGACAGUCUCUCUGUCACUUGUGUUUAUGUGGUGAUCAGUCUGCUUCUUGUUAAAUGACAUGAAAGUGACAGGUGUUGAUCUCCUGGCACCCAAUUCUUCCAGUCAGCUGUCUAGUCCUUCCCUACUCCUGGGUUAUCAUAAAAGAAGCAGGUAUCAACCUCUUCCAAACAAAGAAAGGGAAAAAAAUGAGAAAAACAGAUAAAAAACCACUCCUGGUGAAAUACCAAAGCUCUUUUACUCAUGGGAACUGGUGUUUACUUUUUCAAGUGGCUUUCUAUGAACAUGGCAGGAUUUGUUGACAGAGAAGGACUUCGUGCUUUGGCUUUUUCAGUGUUUUUCUUUUUCCCAUUGCUGAUUAUUAAAUGUGUUCACUUCUCAGAUACUUGUCUCUUUGCUCUAGAAAUAGCACAGAAAUAAUAUUUCAGCUGAAUGAGAACACGCUGACUUCUGAUGUUUUCAACAAUAGAUGGGUUGAUGUGAAUAUGAAAGAUAAUGUACUUGAUUUGCUUCAUUUUUACCAGCCUCUAGAGAGUUUAAUCUAUCCAGAAAAGAAGUGUCUGUCUGAUUUUUUUUUUUUCCUGUGUGACUGUCAUGUCAUCAUCUUGUAAGACAGAGUUAUUCUGAAAACAAAAAAGUAGAAAUCAUAAAGCAUUUUGAUCAUGGGCCAGAUCCUAUCACUUUUACUCAUCCUAUUUGUAUGUCAAACUUAUCUAUGAGAGUAUGCUGAGAUAUCAGCCCACUAUCAUCAAAAUGGCGACACCCAGAUUCAGUGCCCAAACUUUGAAAGAAGGGAUUUUUCUGAAUGCUUAUCAAUAUUUACUUGAAUUGAAACUGUCAGAUUCAGCUUUACAUAAGUGGCCUAAAGCAGCAUAUGUUUAUUUUAAGAUGUAAGCUUAUUUUGUGUAUACCCUAAUAUCUAUUUUCAUUCAUUUUUAGGGGAAAAAAAAAAAAUUCUUCAAACAUUGUACAACAA